AAAAAUUGUUUUAGUUUUCACUAAAGUAGUAAAAAAGAAGAGACAUGUUCAUCAUCUUCCCUUUAAUAGAGAAACCUUAAAAUAUAUAACAUAAAUAGUGUAUUUUUCAUCCUCUUUAUGCUUAUGAAAACCCUUCUUAUUGCUUAAAAUAUCUUCACAAUAUAACUUGUUGGCCAACCCUUAUUCUUGUACCAUUUGCACAGAAUACAAUAUGUUUUGCCAACAUUCAAGUUUUCGAAUUUAUUAAUAAAUGCUGACCAAUUUUAAACUUUUUCCUGACACAUAUACCUAAUAGGGCAUAAAAGCAAACCUUUUUUCCAUUAUUUAAAUCAAGCAAGUGUGAUAAAGAAAUUGUUACAGCUUAAAUCACCAAUGUUUGGUUUACAUCUUUGCUUCAUGCCACAGCGGAAAUUAUAUGGAUAGGGAAUAAAAAUUAAAUUCUUUGUGUGGCUUUUGUGCAUAAAAAUGUUUUUUCGUUACAUAGUCAUAUUUUUUUGCAGAACCAUUCACACCCACUGGAAAAAAGUCUGCAAAGGGGGAAAAAGUUGUUUUUCACAAGCCUGUUAAAUAAUUCAUUUGUCAUGUCAUUUGCAGCAAUAUAAAAUUUCCCAGAUAAAAGUUAAAGAGAAAAGGCUUUCAAUUUUUUGAGAUUUUUAAUUUCUCAGUGCCUUGUGCAGAAAUUGUAUUUUUGCAUAAAUGAUUGUUUCAAUUCUAUAAAAUUUGCCCCAAUUUUUGAAAGAUUAUUGGUCCAUCAAAUGUUACCAACUCAAAUUUUGUUCAAAAUUUCUUCUUUGUUUCACUUCUGACAUAAGUUUUAUAGUACCACCAGCGGUGUUGAUUUUAGCAGAAAAUGUAUUGUUGUUGUUAAAAAAAUCAAUUUGGAGAUUAUACUCAAAAAAAAUUCUAGAUUAUGCAGCUUCUUGUUCACAGGUUUGUGCGCAGGGUUUGUCCCCAGGACUUUUUGUUUUUGACUGAUCUUGUCACAAUGCUGGUAAAAGAAGAGUGAUCUUUUCGGCCUAUUUUGUGGUACUAACUGUUUUAUUACUUGUGCAACAACAGUUUAUUUAUACAUAAAACCUUUUCUACUUUUAUAAACAAAUACUCCUACGUUAUAAUGUUUGUGAUUUGAUUAAAGAUUAGUAUAUGAAAUCCUCAUUUGUAUUUUUACUGCAAGUAAGCUUUGAAAGUUUUCUUUGACUUUAAUUCAAGCAAUACCUUGGCUUCCUGAAUAGCUAACAAAAUUUUUAAUAACAUAUCUGCAGCCUUACCUAUGAAAAAGUGCAAAAACAAAGAUGAAUUAAUAAAAAAUGAUGUCAACUGCAAUAGACGAGUCUUUUCAAAAGAACACUUAUGUUAUAUGAAUAUUCAUAUGGAUGAAAGCAAUAUUGGAGAAAAAACAGUUCAUGUAUUAUAAAUGAAAUAUGGGCAAAAUAUAUGGGCUUCAAAAACCAACACCCCCUCUCGGAGCUAUGUUGACAGACCAUUAAAUAGUUGUUCAACAUUUAUGUGUUUUGUCUUCUCCAACAGAAUUUUCAACUAAAGUGAAUUUUUGUAAAGAGGUUUACAAGAUUUUUUCAUACUAAUGGCCCAAACAAAAUUUUUCAAUAAAAUUAUUUAUGCAAAUACAGAUGUAAAAAUAUAUAUAUUUAAAAUCGAAAUAUCAACAACAAAAACGUAUUGCUGGUUCAUCAAAUAUAGGAAAAAGAAACCAAAGGACGAAUGGGAUACACAAAAUACAAUCAAAACAAAUUCAAAGAGACUGUGAAAAUCAGCAUCUAAACCUUCCACAUAUUUACAAUUAGCCUGCACUGAACAAUGAAAUUGUAGAAAAUUCUUAAAGCCUCUGUUCUAACCCAUCAGUAUUGCCAGUGGACCAAGAAAUUAAGUAGAACUUAUGGUGUAGCGCUCAAAAAGUUGUUAAGGUGGCAGUAACCCUUUUUUAGCUGUCCAAAUAGCUGAAUUAUUUACUCAGUGUUUUAUUUAUACUAUUUUUUUUCACUAUUUCCUAAAAAUAUAGCCUAUAUUAUUAUUAAUAUUAAUACAUAAUAAAAUGAUUUUAACUUAACACUAAAAUUGCUGAGUCAGCAGAAAUUUAUUUUUAAAAAUGUAUCAACAAGAAAAAAAUCGGCUUCUACGAGCUCUAACUUUUUACAAUCUCGUUAUUUUUCAUCAGCUUCUGUUUUUAAAUGAACCUCGGGUUAACCCUGUUAAAACGGUGUGCAGAUUUUUUUUUUCAUUCUUAUUUUUUUAACAAUAGUCUUGUUUUUUUUCAAAAGAUUCUUUGUUAUCAUCCCCUGUUGCAUCGAACGCUGUUAAAAGAAAAAAAUUCCGAAUAAAAAGAUUUCCGCACACCGUAUCAUGGCUGCAUGAUUCACCAAGCAUGUCUGAAAAUUUUAAAGUAAAACGAAAAUGCUAUCGAAGGUUAAAGCUCGUGCAGUGUAGCAUAAUGAAGAUCGUCUUAAAUUUCUACAUAAUGCGCCAUCUUUGUUGUUAUUAACGUAUCUCUUUAAUAAUUACGUCAUUUCCUUCUGUGCAAUUUUGCAAGCACGUAGACUUAAACUAUAUUCGGCAGAACUAAUUAAUUAUUCAUAAAUUUUAUUUAAAAGAGGAAUUGUUGAGGCUGAAUAUUUUUGGUAAAGGAUAAUAGUAUUUUAGCUGUAAAAUCGUGACAAGUGUGUUACAACAGAAAAAUAUGGAUAUAUAAGGCCGGUUUCCAUGCAACUGCAUUUUGUGCCCAGUCGUAAAAAGCGCCGUGACUUUUGAUCUACGCAUGCGCAUUAUCAGAAUAAUUCCGCUGACCUCGCGCUUUUGCAUGCGCUGGGGCGAUUUAAAAAAAGUUAAACAGGCUCUACUUUUUGCGCUGCAGCUUAACAGCCAAUCAAAAGGUAGCAAUCUACAUGAAUUACGAAAGAAUUUUUAAUUAUAACAUUUCAAUAUGGCUAGCAACAUCUCGUUUCUGUGUUAAAUUUUUGUCAAAGCCAAAUGAAUGUAGAGAAUCAGAAUAUAUAUCAAUCAAGUGAAGUAGAUGAAAAACAGAAUAACAUUAAUGAGUCUGUGGAGGCACAAAGAAACA